AAUUUAUGCUGAAGACACUUUCAAAGCAUCUCCUUAAAUAUCUCCCAACUCUCAUAAAUAGAUUCUCCUUCUAAUUGAGUAAAAAAGUAAUAUCAUUUCUAAGUUU